ACUGUACUACUGGCCCUGCAAGAAAGGAUGGUUUGGCAAGAGGAGAAGUGACACAGCAACUAUAACCUGUGUGUGUGUGUGUGUGUGUGUGGGUGUGUGUGUGUGUGUGUGCUGUAAAUAAACCCUCCCUUUAUGCACACAUUUUCUUUUGCACACACACACACACACACACACACACACACACACACGACACAAAG